GGGAGGGCUCCCAUCCGGCUGUAGGCCUCUCAUUCAAGGUUCUUGCUGCAGCCAGCAGUGUCCUUGGAGUCUAGUUCAAAGCUGAAGAGAGUAAACCAUGGAGCCAGGAGCCAUUGGUGGAGGGGCUGGCCCGAAGGAAGUGAAGUAUUUCAGCCAGAAUGUAUUGACGCACGACCAGGAAACCACAAGACUGGUGAAAACCUUUCCAAGCCUGAGCCCUGUGAUCAAAAGAGGUUCAGGAAGCAGAUCUGCCAAGAGUCCUUUCUGCUGCCGCUGGAUCCCUGAGCUUCUGACACUCUCUGAGUCAACUCCCUGAGCAGAUGCUAUCGCCCAAGGAGCCAUUGCUUACUUUGCUCUGAUGUGGCCCCACAGAUAUGUCAUCAGUGUGACAGUUCAAAAGGAAUGAUGCCUCCAUGACAUAUGUUCCCUUACUACUCCUCAUGUGACCUGUGUGUCCGCUCUAUAGGACUUCCAGCAGCUUCAAGUUGGCUUCUCAACAAGAUGAUUCAGAAAAUGCUGCUGAGCUGUGGUGCACAAAUAAGGACAUGAGGUACUGGUGACUCAAACCUUAUCAAAUAGGCUGGGGAUUCUCUGUAGAGUCCAGGGAGUGAGUGUCCACUUGAAAAGACAUGUAGGCAGAAACAUGGGAAAACUUGGUUGUUGUGACAAACUAAAUGGAGAGUGCAUUUGCUUGGAGGUCAUUCUUAAAACUGCUUUUAGCAUUAUGGUAUGUGUAUGGCAAUUACUGAGAAGAGUAAAACCCGUGAUGGCAGCUCAUUAUCCACCCCCGUGUAAGAGUGGCACUUAUGGGUCCUAGAAGAGUCUUGUAAAUUUUAGUAAAAAUCAAAACUUUUUAAUUGACAAUUAAGACAUUUGGCUGUGAUUAUAAACUCAGAGAAAAACAUGGUAUUGUAGGCUUUCCAAUCAGGGCUGAUCUUGUUUGUUUGCUUUUCAGCAUUCUGGCUGAUUAAAAAUACGUUUAGUUGAUGGA